ACGCUCGACACCUACGGUAGGCAGCAGUGGGGAAUAUUGCACAAUGGGGGAAACCCUGAUGCAGCGACGCCGCGUGAAGGAAGAAGUAUUUCGGUAUGUAAACUUCUAUCAGCAGGGAAGAAAAUGACGGUACCUGACUAAGAAGCCCCGGCUAACUACGUGCUAGCAGCCGCGGUAAUCUGAGCGGGCUGGCAAGGC
rnacentral:rRNA from 1 species